GACGAACGCUGGCGGCGUGCUUAACACAUGCAAGUCGAACGGGAAGUCCCUGCUUUUGUGGGGUGGGCGGGUGGCGAACGGGUGAGUAACACGUGAGUAACCUACCCUUGACUUUGGGGUAUCUUCAUGCAACUUGGGCUCAUACCGGAUAGGAGCUCUUGCUGCAUGGUGGGCGUUGGUUAGUUUCGGUGGUUGGGGAUGGAAUCGCGGCGUAUCAGCUUGUUGGUGGGGUAGUGGCUUACCAAGGCUUUGACCGGUGGCCGGCCUGAGCGGGGGAGCCGACACACUGGGCCUGAGAUGCGGCCCAGACUCCUACGGGAGGCAGCAGUGGAGUAUGGAACACUAUGGGCGGAAGCAUGAUGUAGCAACGCCGCGCGCGGGAUGAGGGGCUUCGGGUAGGGAACUGCUUUCGCCUUUGACGGGGCGUGAGUGACGGUAAUGGGUAAAUAAGCACCGGCUAACUACGUG
rnacentral:rRNA from 1 species